rnacentral:lncRNA from 1 species
AGAUGCAGUUUCACUCUUGUUGCCCAAGCUGAAGUGCAAGGGCGCGAUCUCGGCUCACUGCAACCUCCGCCUCCCGAGCAGCUGGGAUUACAGGCAUAUGCCACCACGCCCGGCUAAAUUUGUAUUUUUAGUAGAGACGGCAUUUCUCUAUGUUGGCCAGGCUGGUCUCGAACUCCCUCAGGUAAUCCGCCUGCCUCGGCCUCCUAAAGUGCUUGAACUACAGGCAUGAGCCAAUCAUUUGUAUUUUUGAGUGCUUGCUCUUUGUUCAUCAUACUUGCUUGGUAUUACUUCAUAUAGGGCUAAUAAAACUACAAAAGUACUAUUUCUAUAGACUUAAUUCUUUAGCUCCUGAAAAAUUGAAAGAGCCAAUCUAUUUGGUGGAAAACCAGUCAGCCUUUAACUGAAUUCAGGUUUCUGAAAAGGACCAAAAUUAUAGCCAUAAUUCUAGUAACAUGUCAUUGUAGAGCUUCCCAAAUAAAAUGUGGCAACCUUUAUUUCUCACAUCUAACACCAUCAUCAUCAUCAUCAUUAUUUUUGAGACAGGGUCUUGCUCUGUCGCCCAGGCUGAAGUGCAGUGGCGUGAUCUUAGCUCACUGCAACCUCUGCCUCCCAGGCUCAAGCAAUUCUCACAUCUCAGCCUCCCGAGUAGCUGGGACCACAGGUGCAUGCCACCACACCUGGGUAAUUUUUGUAGUCUGGUAAAGAUGAGGUUUUGCCAUGUUGCCCAGGCUGACAUCUAACAUUAUUGACUCACCUGUAUGAAGGCAUAGUAACAGACCAGUAGAUAAUAGAUGACUUGUGAGAUGAUAGACCAGACACAGCCCUUCUUUGACAUCUGAAGGGAAGUGAAGCUUUCCAGUCUCAAAGAGGUGAAGAAAGCACCUGAGAAUAACAAAGAACACCUGGAGUCAAGAGUCUAAAACUUUUGCCCUCUUCUUGUUAAACUUUGUCUUUGAAUAACCCCAACUCUUCCUGUAUCAUCAAAUGUUUCUGAGUCUCAGUGCUCCACUUAGUAUUUCCUUUAGAGCUGUCAUGAACAUUAAAGGAGAUCAUGUAUGCAAAGCUAUUGGAGAAAUACUGGUUUUACAAAAGUCAGUAGUGGGAAAGGAUAUGCUGUUGACCCUACCUUGAAGGGAGGUGUCGGUGGCUUAACAGUUAUUAUAGAUGUUACCCUAUCCAUGUCAGAGUGGCUGCAGAGAGAGGUCUAAAGCACUGAUACCCCACGAGUACUAACGGUAUCCCAUGGAUACUCAGUCAUUUACAUAAGGAUGGACUAAAAGGCUUCAGCCUCCACCUGGAAGGACAUUGAAAAUGUUGACGUUUAUAAAAUCAUGAAAGGUCUUGUGAAUACAAACCUUUCACAAAGCUUCAAAAUAUUAGUGAUGGCAGCAGCACCCUGUCUGGAGUGGCUGCUGCCAUGACAUCGGCUGCAGUGGGAGGCAUGGCCGGGGCUUUGUGCGCUGUUGAGCUGCGGGAGCCAGUAACAGGUGGGAGCCCUGCCCCCUUCUGAGUUGGAGGGUUGGGAGCCCCACACUCCUGGGCAGAGCUGCAGCUGCCCAGCCACAGCUGCAGACCUGGGCAUCCCUGCACUCGGGGGCUCAGGAAACCCCCCUGCCCCUGCAGGUUCAGAAGUGCCUGCUCCCACUGCAUGGCCUCUCCCCACUCCCAGCACCUGCUCUGAUUUUGGAGCAAAGUUUUGGCCAAGCCUGGGUGUGUGUGCGCUUGGGGCAGUGCUGACAAGCAGCCCCCUACUGCCUCGGCCUUCUCCGAACUUUGGACACGGACAAGCAUGUGAGGCAGGGAGGGUAAGGGGGGGCUGAGGGUGGCUUGCCAUGGGCCCGCAGGUGCCCCUUGGCACAAACAGCCUGGGCACCAUGGGUGACAUGGAUGGCAGCAGGAGGCAGACAGGCUCCUGGGCAGAAAGGGGCAGGUCCCCAGUAAAGCCCCACCUUUAAAGCCAGGGAUCAUUUGAAGCCUGGGGGCUGGGCUGCCAGUUCUGGAACCUGCCAGUUUCACUAACUCAAUUGAGAACUUAUGGCGCUUCUUCUGGGCCCACCCAUGGCUGCCCAUGGACCAAUAAGCACACACUUACUCCCCUCUGAAGCCCAUAAAAACACCAGACUCAGCCAGACUUGGGCAGAUGGCAGGAUGACCUGCCUGCAGAUAGGAGCUACCCACUCCAGAUCUCUCUGCUGAGGGCUACACAAACAAUGGGACGACCUGCCUGUGGAUAGGAGCUACCAACUCCAGGUUUCCUGAAAACUGUCUUGUCACUCAAUGAAGCUCCUCUCCACCUCUCUCACCCUCCAGUUGUCAGUGUACCUCAUUCUUCCUGGAUGCAGGACAAGAACUCGGGACCCGCUGAGUGGUGGGACUGAAAGAGCUGUAACACAAACAGGGCUGAAACACACCCCCUUGCUUGCCACACUGCAAGCAAUGAGAAGGACAGAAUAGCUGUGGCCCUUUGGGGGAGCCCAGACCUACAGGCUCCCUGAGCCAGGGCUGUGACACCCUCUUUGGGGCUCUGUGCUUCUGGCAUCUCGAAGAUUCUAGGCACCAUGGCAUUCCUCAGAUGCAGUUACCCACAGCAGAAACCACAUGCAGUACAUCUGGUCCAGCUUCAGUCUUUCAGGGAGCCGGCACCUGUGCCAGCACAUAGAGCUGCCCAACUCACUGCAGCAGCCAGCGUGCCUGGCUGUGUGCAAUGGCUGGACCCCGUGCUUGCUCAUCCAUACAUACCUCACUGCUCUGUACCUGGCUGUCUCUUGGCAGGUGUGGGAUCCAGGCCAGUAGCAGGAGCUGAGUACAGGCUACCAGGCCAAUUCGGCAGAACGAGCACAGUGGCUGCAAGCAAUACUCAGGCAGAAGGUGCUGCCGGCCACAGAGGUUUCUGGCUGGCAAAGCAACACCCUAAGGAUGCUGUGACAUUAGAACUAAGAUGUACCCCUUGUAGGUAAAAAAGACAUUUAAGAACAAAAGGAAUUUCUAUUUCACCUAGCUAGCUCUCAAGACUGGAACUUUUCCCAUGUUUAUUUUAAUCCCUGUCUAUAUUUUGUUAGUAACUAAAAACCCCAUGAAGACCCUUAGGAAGCCUUUGUGCUUCAUUAGAAACAAGCAUAAGAGAAGUGGUCUACUCUCUGCAGGUCUGAGAGAAGAAUUCUUGAUUAGGAGAAAGAUGUGAUGGAAAAUGGAAGGAUACUUGUGAGCCAAUUCUGGGAGAAGAAAGAGAAGUUGGAUUAGGAUAGAUGUCCUGUGAAAGGUGGGGGAACUGAAUGGACCAGUUUAACUCCAAUCCCUUACAAAAUGCCACUAUAAUGAAAGUGACAGGAUAAAGUAAAAACUUCAAUAGAUGAAGAAAAGGAGGGCAGAUGAGAGCAACAAACUGCUGGAAGCUGAAAAGUAGAGGAAUCACAUUGACUUAGCAAGUUCAAGAAAGCUGAAAUCUAAGGCAGCUGUACAGGAAACCCGGAAGCAAGCUAAUUCUAACCAAGAAACCUUGGAAAGCCUCAGAAAUUGCAGGCAUCAGGUACUUCUGAAGGUAGAAGUUCAGGUGGAACUGAAAAUAGCAUCAACUGAAAGUCAAUAUAUAUAUAAACAACAACUAGAUUCCAAAUUUCCUCCCUCACCAUUCACAACCAGGUAUUUGCUACCUAUCUUGCCUUCUACCACCCCAUGACUAAAGGUUUGUUUCCCAGUGAUGCUGUAUGAGAGAAUCUGGACUUGGGGGCACCAGCUACCUCUGAGAGUAAUGGUUUACUGGAAAAGGGGAUUAAGGGAAAGUUUACGUGCUGCAUGGUGAGACACUUCCCAGAUCCCUUCCCUCAACUUGCUCUGAUAAGUAUAAUAGGCUCAUAUACUCAAGAUUGGAGUUUGUAGGGUCUCUAAAAACUGACUGCCCAAAAAGAGAGACUUAGAUACCCAGUUGAUAAGCUCUAUGCAUGGGCACAGAGCUUUGUUUUUUAUUUUUUUUUUAUUUUUUUGAGAUGGAGUCUCACUCUGUCCCCCAGGCUGGAGUGCAGUGGCACGAUCUCAGCUCACUGCAACCUCCGCCUCCUGGGUUCAAGCAAUUCUCCUGUCUCAGCCUCCUGAGUAGCUGGGAUUACAGGCAUGUGCCACCAUGCCUGGCUAAUUUUUGUAUUUUUAGUAGAUAUGGGGUUUUGCC